GUGCUUGCUUUGGCAGCACAUAUAUUAAAAUUGGAAUGAUACAGAGAAGAUUAGCAUGACCCUUGUGCAAAAAAGAAAAGAAAAAAAAAGAAAAAGAAAAAAAGUUA
rnacentral:snRNA from 1 species